rnacentral:lncRNA from 1 species
UAGGUACGGUAUAAGGUGAUUUCUUUUUAUCUGUAUGAGGUUUAGUUAGCAGAGUUAUCCGAUAAUUAUGUUGAGGGAAAGUAAUAGGUAAGGAAAUAUGAACUAUUAAAUUAUCUUGACAUAAAGAAAGAUUCUAGUGUAACGAUAAAGAGGAUUAGGGGUUGAGUCACUAUUCUAAUUACAUGUUCGAUUUAACCUAGUAGCUUUACAUGCAAGGUAGGGGUUCAAUUAAAUUUUCUUUAUCGGAAAGUUAUGAUUUAUAUAACAUAACUAGGAUUAAAAUAAAUUUAUGUACGUGUUAAAAAUCUUUAAUCCGUUCAAAUAAGAGAAAUACAGGUUCAAAUUUAUGAUAUUUUUGAAUGCCCCUAUAAGAAAAAUAUUGGCAAUUUAUGAUAUUUUUGAAUGCCCCUAUAAGAAAAAUAUUGGCUUCGCAAUUGCUGUACUAAUGGAAGGUAGAAAUUAUUCGAUGAAUUAAUCAAAGAUGUGUCCAAGUUGAUUAAAAUAUUUAUGUUAAAUAGCUUCUAAACAAUAAGAAUAAGGAAGUACUGUGUUUUGCUUAUUGGUUAUAAAAUAAUAAUUAUUGCUAUUAUUAUACAAAAGUAACAUGAUAUAUCAUAUUAGUGAUAAGUGUCCAAACUUUGCCAACCUCAUGUCCCAAGAUUCCAAAUUGGGAGGUAUUUCAAUAGGACAAUGAUUUACUACUAACUAAACAUGCUCCACUUGCUAACUUAUUUUAUUCUAUUUAAUUUAUAUUCUUUUUGGGGGAGUCCACAUGUACUUUUGAUUGAGACUUGGCCACUAAUAGUACCAUCAUAAUUAAUUGAGAGCUUUUGUCCUAAUAUAUAGGUUUCACGUUACGUUAAUUUAAGCUUGCUUUAUGUUCAAUUGAGAAAACAUCUCAUCCAUCACCACCACCUCAACUAAGAACUUUCAAGAUCAUAAAAAAACAAAAAUUAGGAAUGAAAAUUCAUCGCUAAUCUUAUUUAACUUAUGAUGCAGGG